UCCCACUGUUCCUUUCCAUUAGUGGUUAGGUUUAAUACCAAUCCCUGCUGCCAACCUUCUCACUGUUCCUCUCCAUUAGUGGUUAGGUUUAAUACCAAUCCCUGCUGCCAACCUUCUCACUGUUCCUUUCCAUUAGUGGUUAGGUUUAAUACCAAUCCCUGCUGCCAACCUUCUCACUGUUCCUUUCCAUUAGUGGUUAGGUUUAAUACCAAUCCCUGCUGCCAACCUUCUCACUGUUCCUUUCCAUUAGUGGUUAGGUUUAAUACCAAUCCCUGCUGCCAACCUUCUCACUGUUCCUCUCCAUUAGUGGUUAGGUUUAAUACCAAUCCCUGCUGCCAACCUUCUCACUGUUCCUCUCCAUUAGUGGUUAGGUUUAAUACCAAUCCCUGCUGCCAACCUUCCCUCUGUUCCUCUCCAUUAGUGGUUAGGUUU